AACGCGAAGAACCUUACCUACCCUUGACAUCCAGAGGAGAUUGCAGAGAUGCGAUUGUGCCGAAAGGAACUCUGAGACAGGUGCUGCAUGGCUGUCGUCAGCUCGUGUUGUGAGAUGUUGGGUUAAGUCCCGCAACGAGCGCAACCCUUAUCCCUAGUUGCCAUCGGGUCAAGCCGGGCACUCUAGUGAAACUGCCUCGGAUAACGAGGAGGAAGGUGGGGAUGACGUCAAGUCCUCAUGGCCUUUAUGUCCAGGGCUACACACGUGCUACAAUGGUCGGUACAAACCGUCGCAAACCCGUGAGGGGGAGCUAAUCGGAAAAAGCCGGCCUCAGUUCGGAUUGGAGUCUGCAACUCGACUCCAUGAAGCUGGAAUCGCUAGUAAUCGCGGAUCAGAACGCCGCGGUGAAUACGUUCCCGGGCCUUGUACACACCGGUACUA
rnacentral:rRNA from 1 species